rnacentral:lncRNA from 1 species
AAUACAGUCCAACUAUUUUUCUGAAGCUUCAUAUAGUAAUGGUUAGAAAUGAGCAAACAUACAAGAAAAGCGGACGGCUAGAUCUAUGCUAGAAUGCACCUCGAACCUAGAACCAAGUUAGCGACCUCGACGCCGGCGAACUUAAACUUUUAGAACUGCUUUUCGCUGGGUUUGCAGCUGUUUAGAGACUAUUUUCAGCUCCUUUUUGAGAUGUUUUGAGGGAGUCUUAGAAGCUUAGUUUGGAGCUCGAUUUGCAGGUGUUCUUGAAGAAGGGUGGUGCUAAUGAAUCCCCUCAAAAUGUGCAUGAACGUGACCUUUUUUCAGAGCAGAAAAGAUCUGAUGUCAUCUAGAUUUUUAGGAAUUUUACGAUUUGCUUUUUGCUCUUUGUUUAACAAUUCUCAAGGUCUGCCGCUUAUCAUAUAGAAUUCAGGGAUUCAAAGAUUCAUGGAUGCCAUUUUUUUUUGUAGUUUAGGACUAGGGAUUGAGAACAUAGGGUAGGAUUUUUGUAAUUGUAUAUUUUAUAUGGAAUUGGGAAGGGAUGGUGGCCAUUGGAUUAGAA